rnacentral:rRNA from 1 species
UGAGUAACACGUGGGUAACCUGCCUGUAAGACUGGGAUAACUCCGGGAAACCGGGGCUAAUACCGGAUGCUUGAUUGAACCGCAUGGUUCAAUCAUAAAAGGUGGCUUUUAGCUACCACUUGCAGAUGGACCCGCGGCGCAAUAGCUAGUUGGUGAGGUAACGGCUCACCAAGGCGACGAUGCGUAGCCCACCUGAGAGGGUGAUCGGCCACACUGGGACUGAGACACGGCCCAGACUCCUACGGGAGGCAGCAGUAGGGAAUCUUCCGCAAUGGACGAAAGUCUGACGGARCAACGCCCCGUGAGUGAUGAAGGUUUUCGGAUCGUAAAACUCUGUUGUUAGGGAAGAACAAGUACCGUUCGAAUAGGGCGGUACCUUGACGGUACCUAACCAGAAAGCCACGGCUAACUACGUGCCAGCAGCCGCGGUAAUACGUAGGUGGCAAGCGUUGUCCGGAAUUAUUGGGCGUAAAGCGCGCGCAGGCGGUUUCUUAAGUCUGAUGUGAAAGCCCCCGGCUCAACCGGGGAGGGUCAUUGGAAACUGGGGAACUUGAGUGCAGAAGARGAGAGUGGAAUUCCACGUGUAGCGGUGAAAUGCGUAGAGAUGUGGAGGAACACCAGUGGCGAAGGCGACUCUCUGGUCUGUAACUGACGCUGAGGCGCGAAAGCGUGGGGAGCGAACAGGAUUAGAUACCCUGGUAGUCCACGCCGUAAACGAUGAGUGCUAAGUGUUAGAGGGUUUCCGCCCUUUAGUGCUGCAGCAAACGCAUUAAGCACUCCGCCUGGGGAGUACGGUCGCAAGACUGAAACUCAAAGGAAUUGACGGGGGCCCGCACAAGCGGUGGAGCAUGUGGUUUAAUUCGAAGCAACGCGAAGAACCUUACCAGGUCUUGACAUCCUCUGACAACCCUAGAGAUAGGGCUUCCCCUUCGGGGGCAGAGUGACAGGUGGUGCAUGGUUGUCGUCAGCUCGUGUCGUGAGAUGUUGGGUUAAGUCCCGCAACGAGCGCAACCCUUGAUCUUAGUUGCCAGCAUUCAGUUGGGCACUCUAAGGUGACUGCCGGUGACAAACCGGAGGAAGGUGGGGAUGACGUCAAAUCAUCAUGCCCCUUAUGACCUGGGCUACACACGUGCUACAAUGGGCAGAACAAAGGGCAGCGAAGCCGCGAGGCUAAGCCAAUCCCACAAAUCUGUUCUCAGUUCGGAUCGCAGUCUGCAACUCGACUGCGUGAAGCUGGAAUCGCUAGUAAUCGCGGAUCAGCAUGCCGCGGUGAA